UACGGGGGGGGCAAGCGUUGUUCGGAAUUACUGGGCGUAAAGGGCUCGUAGGUGGCCAACUAAGUCAGACGUGAAAUCCCUCGGCUUAACCGGGGAACUGCAUCUGAUACUGGAUGGCUUGAGUUUGGGAGAGGGAUGCGGAAUUCCAGAUGUAGCGGUGAAAUGCGUAGAUAUCUGGAGGAACACCGGUGGCGAAGGCGGCAUCCUGGACCAACACUGACACUGAGGAGCGAAAGCCAGGGGAGCAAACGGG
rnacentral:rRNA from 1 species